CCCUUAGAUGUUCUGGGCUGCACGCGCGCUACACUGAUGCGUUCAACGAGUUUAUGACCUUGCCCGAUAGGGUUGGGUAAUCUUUUUAAAUCGCAUCGUGAUGGGGAUAGAUUAUUGCAAUUAUUAAUCUUCAACGAGGAAUUCCUAGUAAACGCAAGUCAUCAGCUUGCAUUGAUUACGUCCCUGCCCUUUGUACACACCGCCCGUCGCACCUACCGAUUGAAUGGUCCGGUGAAAUCUCGGGACGGCGGCUUGGUCGCUUGCGUCCGACUGCUGAAACUUGAUUAAACCAUAUCAUUUAGAGGAAGGUGAAGUCGUANCA
rnacentral:rRNA from 1 species